rnacentral:rRNA from 1 species
UACGUAGGGAGCAAGCGUUGUCCGGAAUCAUUGGGCGUAAAGCGCGCGUAGGUGGCUUCGUAAGUCCGUUGUGAAAGUCAAAGGCUCAACCUUUGAAAGCCGAUGGAUACUGUGAAGCUAGAGUACGGAAGAGGCGAGUGGAAUUCCUGGUGUAGCGGUGAAAUGCGUAGAUAUCAGGAGGAACACCGGUGGCGAAGGCGGCCCUCUGGACGGUGACUGACGCUGAGACGCGAAAGCGUGGGGAGCAAACAGG